rnacentral:rRNA from 1 species
GAUGAACGCUGGCGGCGUGCCUAAUACAUGCAAGUCGAGCGAACAGACAAGGAGCUUGCUCCUCUGACGUUAGCGGCCGACGGGUGAGUAACACGUGGAUAACCUACCUAUAAGACUGGGAUAACUUCGGGAAACCGGAGCUAAUACCGGAUAAUAUAUUGAACCGCAUGGUUCAAUAGUGAAAGACGGUUUUGCUGUCACUUAUAGAUGGAUCCGCGCCGCAUUAGCUAGUUGGUAAGGUAACGGCUUACCAAGGCAACGAUGCGUAGCCGACCUGAGAGGGUGAUCGGCCACACUGGAACUGAGACACGGUCCAGACUCCUACGGGAGGCAGCAGUAGGGAAUCUUCCGCAAUGGGCGAAAGCCUGACGGAGCAACGCCGCGUGAGUGAUGAAGGUCUUCGGAUCGUAAAACUCUGUUAUUAGGGAAGAACAAAUGUGUAAGUAACUAUGCACGUCUUGACGGUACCUAAUCAGAAAGCCACGGCUAACUACGUG